UUUAUUUAGAUCUCUCUUUGAGAAAAGAGAUUUUUUUUUUUUUUUUUUCGAGGAGUUGUCGUUUGUCCUUCCAAAUUAGCCGGCUUUCUACCUCAUUUUUUAAGCUUUCCUCUGCCUCCUCCGGUGGAGGGAGCCCUCUCUCCACGCGAUUGAUGGUUACGUCUCCCCCUCACCGAGCAGAGAUAUGUAGAUAUUAUUUGAUCUAGAGGCUCUCCUAACUAGUUCUGGGAGACAUAUAUCUUCGCUAUGGAAGGAGAGUGACCUGUGGACUACGAUGGAGGUCUUUCCCCCAUUGCCGACGUCAUUCGCUUAGCUCUUCUCAUUGACUCACAUGGUGGGGGGGAUUGUGUGACUAAGGAUGAUUUCCUCUCCCGAUGUACCAGCCUUCCUCUAUGUUUCACCGAUGAGAUUGCAUGUGUCGUCUUUGUUUUAGUCUCGUUGUUCCUUCCUUCUGGAUACUGGUGUUGUUGCAUUUGCUGUGUUUUCUCCCUUGUUCUUCAGUGCAUUUCAUAGCCUCAUGGAUUGCCAUAGAGGGAGCUCUUUGUUCGUCAGUUUGGCUGCACCACUGUUGAUGGCUGAUGGUUGGUGUUUUGAAUCAAGUUGGUUGUUUGGUGGGCUAGGGUUCUAGUACUUUGUUGGGCUUUUAUUUUUUAAAGCCUUAGUAACCUUUUAGAUGUUGUAUUUUUUUCGGUUUCAAUACCUUUAUUUUUGAGAAAAAAAGAUAUCUAUAUAAAUUUGUUAAUAUA